rnacentral:lncRNA from 1 species
UUUAGUUUCUCAUAUACUACUGACAUGCUUUAAUAUGUUACUUCCUGUGAUUGACGUCACUUCCGUUUCUUUCUCCAGCGAGUACUCGGAUUUGUUUGAAGCUGUCAAGGUAGGUGAAUUGUUUCUGACUACACUUAUCGUUAAAGCUAUGAUAUAGUAUAAGAGGUUUAUUUUUAAAACGCAGUUACAGAAGCUUGUGACUUUUUAUAAACUGACAAAAGCCUGUUCGUUACUGGUUAUGAGAUGUUCGAAAGCAAGUGAUACUCAACAGACCACAUUUCUGUCCUUCCAUCGUUCCGUUCGCUUGUGUUGUAGAUGAAAAUAUAAAUAUAUACAUUUGUAUAUAUCAAACUGAAACUUCAGUUAGCUUAGCUAUUUCGAUGUCUACUUUGUUGUUCUUCUUUUCCGUGUUGUUUCAUUUAUGAAAAUAAUGCAAUUUAGAAGAACGUUUUAUGCUUUUGUAUUGUUGAUAUCCUCAUUUUAGACUGAUGUAACGUGACCGGGUUGCGUGCAUGGUAUGAAGGUGUAUAAAUAUUUAGAUUAUCUGAAUUACUGUUAAGGAAACCCGUUAUUGCUAAAAAAAUAAUAAUAACGAAACGAAAAGAAUGAAAUAGGAAAGGAAAGAAAAUUGACACAUUUUUUUUUUGGUAAAGAAUUUCAUUAUGUACUCGUAUAUAUUGCAUUGCUACUACUGUUGUUUACUGUCCCCGUUCAUUCAGCUAUGUACUACUAGAACAGUUAUUAGUGUUGUAUAUAUACAUACUUGCUCUGCAAACUUAUAUAGCUAUACUCGUUGAACAUUCCAUUUUUAGAACUAUAAAUUCUUCCUGCUGUUUUCCAUUUCUUCUUCUGUCCAUCCUUUUUCUGCAUACAACCGUUAGUUCAUAUUUACAGUGAAAUAACUUACGGAACAAAUUGGAAGAAGGUAUGUUACCAUUGAUGGAAUAGGGGAGAACCAACAAUUGUAUUACACAUACACAUGAUUUAUUUUUAAGCAGUCAUUAGUUGUCUCUUAGUUUUUAUUUUAUUUGAUAUUUUUAUGCAGACACUUCUGUUAGAUCAAUUUUAUAAGUAGAUCAGUUUGUUGCUGAGCAUGUUUGCUAGUGCUAUAGUAACGCUUUUCGGGUCCCAUGAUACUUUCAUCUUAACACUUGCGUGCAUUCGCUCUUUUUUUUUUCUAAGGAAUAUUUUACUUGUGAAAGAAUCUGUAUUUUUCUCACCCUUGCCUUUUGUGCGCAAAUGUACAACACCUAAAUUUCUGGCUAAUUUCAGAUAUAUGUAUAUAUAAAAUCUCAUUAAGUUAUAUUUUCAUUACCAACGUUGACUUAAUAUGUAUUCACAGCACCGUCCCAUGGCGAUUACAUUUCUAAUUGGAGCCUCGAAUUUUAUUUUCAGUUGAAUUUCAGAAUUUCUUUUGCUGUUUUGAUUAAGUCUUGAACUUUCUACAUUUUCAAAACGUAUCAUCCUUUACUGAUAAAUUUAUUGAUCCACAAGGUGUCUACUAACAUUUAUGCUUCAUAAUUAAUACACUGUUUCUUCAUUAACAGUCUGGUUCUUUCGUAUAAAAUGUUAUUUUCUCGAUUGCUAUGCAUGUUAUACUGUUGACAAUGUUUUUACACCCUUGAGUAAUUGUGAUUGUUAAUUAUGAAUACGACAAACCUCUGUGUAUACACUGACAAAUACAAGUAUUUUACGAGCCAGUGACAUCUACUUGGUUACUUGACUUGUUAGAAACAGAAUCUAAGUUUCAUUAAAAUUUUACCCUUACUAUCUAAAAUAUGAAGAAAAUAUAGGUUGGUGUAUUCUUAGCUAUGAUUUCUGCAAAACAAUCACAGGAUAGUUAAGGCAGGAACACCCUCGAUCAUAAGUCUGUUCUAAAAAGGUGUCCUAGGGCUAAACAACAACACAAGCGCUUUCAGUGUGUCGACUUCAUUAAGACAUUCCGUAAAGGUUUUUCUUGAAUUGAUUCUAUGUUUACUUAAUGUUAUCUCACUCUUCAUCUGCAAUGUUAUCUAAUUCGAAAAUGUAUCCUGUUUAUUUAAAGAUAUAUGCAUAUUGUGUGUGCGCACUUGACGUAUGUAUAACCUGUGUGCGUCUCUCUCUCUCUCUCUCUCUCUCUCUCUCUCUCUCUAUAUAUAUAUAUAUAUAUAUAUAUAUAUAUAUAUAUAUAUAUAUAUGUGUGUGUGUGUGUGUUUGGUGUGUGUCAAAUACGUAUUGCAAUAAUGUCUAUGAGUGCGCGCUCAUAUAUACACUUACGCAUGUUUGCAAUGCUUUCUUGAUUUGAGCUGUGACUCAUUAGAACAGAACAUUUGCAAACCAUUUACAUAGACAGAAUAUAUAAGGAUUUUUUAAAAUUUUAUAACGAUUUCAUAUUGCGAACAUAUCAACAAAAUUAUGCUAUUUACAUAAAUUCGUUUUCCUGGUAUUUCCUGUCUGUGCAAAAAAUAGGAGUUCUUUUGUCCGAGCUAAGCCUUCAUUUAGCAGAUCUCUAAUCGAAGGCAUUAUAAUUGUCUCUAGGACCAAAGUGUGUGAAUGUUUCUUUAAUUUAAGUUAUAGAGUGUGAUCUGAAGGAGAAUUUGCUGCUAUUUCUCGUAACACGAACGACUAUGUGGAAGCUGUUUAACCUCAGGUCAGCCAUGAUCGAGCAGACAAAUGAUCAGCAAUAUUAUGGUGGUGGCCAUCUCUUUUUAUUUAUUUUUUUUUUACAUUUUCAAGACAGUAAGGUGUGAUUUUAGGAAAAUUUACCUGUUAUUUCUAACAAGUGAAGCAUCUUUGCAGAACCUCUCCCCCUCCCCCAUUGAUUAGCUGAUGUUCGAUAUUUUUGUAUCAUGAGUAAAUAUAAAGAGCCACAACUAUACGGCUUAACGUGAAUGAUGUGUUUAUACGGUGCCAAAUUGUGGUUGCUCACCUGACCAAACAGAUUUAGGAGUAAAGGCAUUCCAACCACUACCGUCUGCACUUUUUGGUAGCAUCUAGGAUUUCUUUAUCUUUUAUGGCUUUCCAUUGUCUAAGAUAGUAGAGUUUGAUAGAAAUUUAGUUGCUUUUUCUAGCAUAGAGAGCUCUGGUUUACGAUACCAAGUGAUAUAUUGUAGAACCACUGUUUAUAAAUAAUAUCAAAUCUUUACUGGAGCUAUUAUGCAUGUGGGAGAUUUGGAGAAAGUUUGUUUGAAACACACACCUGUUGUUAUUUUAUAUUGUUGACCAUUUCUUGAGUUUCUUUUAGAAUUAUUUUAUUAGAAUCGUAUUUUUCUUAAUUUAUUUUUUUAUUUAGUAAAUCAACCUUAUUCCUUGAAGGUACUAUUUAAAUGCCUUAUUAAUAGCAAGCAUUUUACUGAAAUAAAUUACAUACGCCUGAUAUUUUAAAUUGUCUAUUUCGUAUAUAAUACUUUUUUUUUGUCUUUUACAUUGUAUCUGAUGGCGGGUAGUCUAAUUUACCCUUGUAAUAAUAUUUGCGAUAGUUAGUCUGCCUUUUUUGCUGGAUUUUGUUCUCCAUUCGUAUAGAUUUCGAAAAUCUAACAACUUCCAGGAAUUUGAAGAACGGUUAUUUUUCUAUUUGUUUACGUGGUUCUUUAUGCGCACAAACAUUGUCGCAUGAAAGGCAUUAUAUUCCAUAUACACAGGUGGUGUGUGUGUCUGUAUGGUAUAUAUAUAUAUAUAUAUAUAUAUAUAUAUAUAUAUCAUACAGACACACACACAUCUUCAGUUUGGUUCAGGAAAACACCAGCCAACAUGUUUUGAUAUUGUUAUUCAUAACUACCAUUUGCAUUGUAGUAUUUUGGGAAGAAUUUAGAGUGAAGUUGUGCAUAGCUCUAACAUGGCAGUUACAAAUAACCACCAAACGAUGUUUGUAAAGUAGGAGUAAUUAUUGACUUUGUACUUCGUUGAGGUCUCUUAAGGUAAACUGAAGGAAGCUAGUUGAGAAUUGUGGUUUUUAUCUGUAGCAGGUGAUGAGCUGAAACCUGACUGAGAUAGGAUUAAAAAAAAAAAGAAAAACGCCAUGGUAAGAAUUGAGAUCACUUAACAAGUGUCAACACCCUUGAGACAAGUUUGAUUUACUUUAGUGAAAGUGAAGGAGUGUAUGAAUGGAGUAUUCUAAAAAAAUUUCAAAUAGCUGAAGUUUCAUUCUUUUUUGAAGGAAAAUAAAAACCUAGCGGCUAUUGUUAAUCACAAUUGAAGAAAAACAAUUUCGAGACAAAGUAAUUUCACUAAAUUGAUUUGAAUGCUUUGAGGGAAAUCUGAUUUUUGUUUGCAAGCAGUGGGAUAGCCUUAAACAUAUGUGGAG